rnacentral:rRNA from 1 species
GAUGAACGCUGGCGGCGUGCCUAAUACAUGCAAGUCGAGCGAACAGACCAGGAGCUUGCUCCUCUGACGUUAGCGGCGGACGGGUGAGUCACACGUGGAUAGCCUACCUAUAAGACUGGGAUAACUUCGGGAAACCGGAGCUACUACCGGAUAAUAUAUUGACCCGCAUGGUUCAAUAGUGAAAGUCGGUUUUGCUGUCACUUAUAGAUGGAUCCGCGCCGCAUUAGCUAGUUGGUAAGGUAACGGCUUACCAAGGCAACGAUGCGUAGCCGACCUGAGAGGGUGAUCGGCCACACUGGAACUGAGACACGGUCCAGACUCCUACGGGAGGCAGCAGUAGGGAAUCUUCCGCAAUGGGCGAGAGCUUGACGGAGCAACGCCGCGUGAGUGAUGAAGGUCUUCGGAUCGUAAAACUCUGUUAGUAGGGAAGAACAAAUGUGUAAGUAACUAUGCACGUCUUGACGGUACCUAAUCAGAAAGCCACGGCUAACUACGUG